rnacentral:tRNA from 1 species
GCGGGUAUAGCUUAGUGGUAAAGCUCCAGCCUUCCAAGCUGGCUAUUCGGGUUCGAUUCCCGAUACCCGCUCCA